rnacentral:rRNA from 1 species
AAUGAACGUUGGCGGCGUGGAUUAGGCAUGCAAGUCGAGCGUGUACCCGCAAGGGGAAAGCGGCAAACGGGGUAGGAACGCGUAGGUCACGUACCCCUCGGCCGGGGAUAGCCACGGGAAACUGUGGGUAAUACCCGAUGACGCCGAGAGGCCAAAGGUGUGAUUCCGCCGGGGGAGCGGCCUGCGUAGUAUUAGCUAGUUGGUGAGGUAACGGCUCACCAAGGCGAAGAUGCUUAGGGGGUGUGAGAGCAUGACCCCCACCACUGGGACUGAGAUACUGCCCAGACACCUACGGGUGGCUGCAGUCGAGAAUCUUCGGCAAUGGGGGCAACCCUGACCGAGCGACGCCGCGUGUGGGAUGAAGGCCCUUGGGUUGUAAACCACUGUCAGAGGGGAUGAAACGAUCAUGGGUUCUCCCAUGGUCCUGACAUAGCCUCAGAGGAAGCACGGGCUAAGUUCGUGCCAGCAGCCGCGGUAAUACGAACUGUGCAAACGUUAUUCGGAAUCACUGGGACG